rnacentral:rRNA from 1 species
UACGGGGGGGCAAGCGUUGUUCGGAAUUACUGGGCGUAAAGAGCUCGUAGGCGGCUUGUCACGUCGGGUGUGAAAGCCCGGGGCUUAACCCCGGGUCUGCAUUCGAUACGGGCAGGCUAGAGUGUGGUAGGGGAGGAUCGGAAUUCCUGGUGUAGCGGUGAAAUGCGCAGAUAUCAGGAAGAAUAUCCGUGGCGAAGGCGGCUCUCUGGUACGGCACUGACGCUGAGACGCGAAAGCGUGGGGAGCGAACAGG